GACGUAGGGGGCGAGCGUUGUCCGGAUUUAUUGGGCGUAAAGCGCGCGUAGGCGGCCCGUUAAGUCGGAUGUGAAAACCCGUGGCUCAACCACGGGCCUGCAUCCGAUACUGGCGGGCUCGAGGCAGGCAGGGGAGAGCGGAAUUCCUGGUGUAGCGGUGAAAUGCGCAGAUAUCAGGAGGAACACCGGUGGCGAAGGCGGAUCUCUGGGCCUGUCCUGACGCUCAGGCGCGAAAGCUAGGGGAGCAAACAGG
rnacentral:rRNA from 1 species